GUGGGGGAUAUUGCACAAUGGGCGGAAGCCUGAUGCAGCAACGCCGCGUGCGGGAUGACGGCCUUCGGGUUGUAAACCGCUUUCACCCAUGACGAAGUUUAUUUGACGGUAGUGGGAGAAGAAGCACCGGCUAACUACGUGCCAGCAGCCGCGGUGAUACGUAGGGUGCGAGCGUUGUCCGGAUUUAUUGGGCGUAAAGAGCUUGUAGGCGGUUGGUCGCGUCAGGAGUGAAAACUCGGGGCUUAACUCCGAGCUUGCUUUUGAUACGGGCUGACUUGAGGGAAGUAGGGGAGAAUGGAAUUCCUGGUGAAGCGGUGGAAUGCGUAGAUAUCAGGAGGAACACCGGUGGCGAAGGCGGUUCUCUGGACUUUUCCUGACGCUGAGAAGCGAAAGCGUGGGGAGCAAACAGGAUU
rnacentral:rRNA from 1 species